AUGAACGCUGGCGGCGUGCCUAAUACAUGCAAGUCGAGCGAACAGACGAGGAGCUUGCUCCUUUGACGUUAGCGGCGGACGGGUGAGUAACACGUAGGUAACCUACCUAUAAGACUGGGAUAACUUCGGGAAACCGGAGCUAAUACCGGAUAAUAUUUCGAACCGCAUGGUUCGAUAGUGAAAGAUGGCUUUGCUAUCACUUAUAGAUGGACCUGCGCCGUAUUAGCUAGUUGGUAAGGUAACGGCUUACCAAGGCAACGAUACGUAGCCGACCUGAGAGGGUGAUCGGCCACACUGGAACUGAGACACGGUCCAGACUCCUACGGGAGGCAGCAGUAGGGAAUCUUCCGCAAAGGGCGAAAGCCUGACGGAGCAACGGCGCGUGAGUGAUGGAGGUCUUCGGAUCGGAAAAAUCUGUUAUUAGGGAAGAACAAACGUGUAAGUAAAUGUGCACGUCUUGACGGUACCUAAUCAGAAAGCCACGGCUAACUACGUG
rnacentral:rRNA from 1 species